GGCUGCUGAGACGAAAAUGGAGCAGCAGGCGAAGGAGUUAGCCGACGCAAAGGCCCGCAAAUCCGGUUUCUCUGAGAUCUUACUCCCCCACAUCCUCAACUUGUAUGGGUCGCGGGCGACGGCUCGGGAUUUCGAGAUCUAUGCUCCGAAUGCUACUUUUGAGGAUCCGCUGAUGCGGGCUCAGGGGGUGAAGGAGAUCAAGUCUGCGUUUUAUUCACUUAACAAGGUAUUCAGUGAAUCUAAAAUUGUGGAAUACAGCAUUGAAGAAAACACAGUUGCGCCAGGGAAAGUUGAGAUCUUGAUCGACAACAAGCAAUAUUACAAAAUAUUUGGAAGAGAUGUGAAUAUGGUGUCGCUUAUCAAGCUGGAUGUUGAAGACAGCAAAGUCGUUCGACAUCAA
rnacentral:misc_RNA from 1 species